UUCAGACAGAAAGAAGCUGCCUCUCUCGCCCCUGCCUUCUUCCACUGCCCCAGAGCAGCACUCCCUCUGCAGCCAACCAAACAAAAGUCAUUCCUGGAUUUGAGCCUGACUCUGCCACCUACUCGCAGCGUGCCUCCAGUGCACUCAGGCGGUGUACCUAGACUGUCCGUGCCAAGUUGUUUUGACAGCACAUGGGGGUAUAAAAAGAAAUAGAAGACAAUGGUUCUUCCUAUGGGGGUGCACGUGGUAACAGUCGGAGAGGGGACGCGAGCUUGCAAAGCCACCAGACAUCAAUCAAAUGCAAUAUGUGAAGAUGUGCUUUGUCAUACAAGUGUGAACAGCAAUAAACUACGUGUAUAGUCAAGAAGCUCUGGAGUAAGAAAUAUGUGAUAAAAGUGUGAGCAGUUUUAAACCAUGUGUAUACGUGUUGAAAAGCCCUGAGGUAGGAAUAUUUUUAAA